rnacentral:rRNA from 1 species
CCUGUGAUGAUAAUGACAGUAGCAGGUAAAGAAACCCCGGCCAACUCCGUGCCAGCAGCCGCGGUAAUACGGAGGGGGUUAGCGUUGUUCGGAAUUACUGGGCGUAAAGCGCGCGUAGGCGGAUUAGAAAGUUGGGGGUGAAAUCCCGGGGCUCAACCUCGGAACUGCCUCCAAAACUGCUAGUCUAGAGUUCGAGAGAGGUGAGUGGAAUUCCGAGUGUAGAGGUGAAAUUCGUAGAUAUUCGGAGGAACACCAGUGGCGAAGGCGGCUCACUGGCUCGAUACUGACGCUGAGGUGCGAAAGUGCGGGGAGCAAACAGGAUUAGAUACCCUGGUAGUCCACACCGUAAACGAUGAAUGCCAGUCGUCGGGUAGUAUACUAUUCGGUGACACACCUAACGGAUUAAGCAUUCCGCCUGGGG